ACAGCAGAAACAGCACCACGUGUAUGCUUAACCCCAUUGUUGUGUUUGUCCCAUGCAGCAAGCAGGGAAAAGACAGGGUCCGGAAUACAGGAAGGAUGUGGGGGUAAAAUGAGAGCAUUCAGAAACAGCCCAGUAUAUGUCUUAAGAAAGUGGGAGCACAUUGGCUCCUUCCCCUAAGAAAGAGAUGGUUAUGGCCAAGCUGGUUCAAAUCACCACCAAAUUUCCACAAUGCCAAAUAUCACAAAGGCUUGGACGUGACUGGUAAGAAAAGAAAACAGAACAGUGUGCAAGGAUCCAAGACAGGUUCUACCUGGUGCCUGAAACUUUGUGCUGGGGCACCAGGGAUAGGAGUGUGUGAUUCCCUGGGAGACCUGCCUUGGACAGCUGUGGGGACGACCCAAUGGCCAAGUGAAUUCCCAUAUGGAGUGAGCUAUUACUACUAGUGUGGCAGAAAGAGUAAUUGUUGGUGCAGAGCAGCGGUACGUCUCUUAGGGCUAAGGGUCUAGGUCAAUCUUCCUUUGGAAGGGGAGUGGUAAGGCCUUUAAAGGAAGCCCCCACCUCAGUUCCAUAAGCAACAAGAGUGCUUUUCUCCCCGUCAUGGCUCCUAAAGCUGUAAAGGAAAAACAUGGAAGAGCCAUCCCUGAGGCCCCUAGUCGGUCUGUAAUGAAGUCACAUGUCCGUCCCCCCCAAACCGCAGUCUGCAGUCGUGACACCCCCUCCCAUUAGCGUCUAGGAAGGAGGGGGACUGGAAGGAGGGGGGCAGGCACUGCGCAGUCUGGGGUGCAGGCACACCAAAGAGAGUUUUGGUAUCCAUCCGCUGCUCCCGCCCGCGCAGCGCUUCCCGACCUCCAGAUACCGCAGCCCCCAGUCGCCCGCCCUCCCGCCAGUCCCACCAGGAGUAGGUGCAGCGGGAGACUGGGUGGUGGUCUGCACGCUAGGGUGUGCGGUGUCUUACUGAGGCUGCGGGUGCUAAGCCGCCCCUCAGACCCGGGCUCGCGCUGGCCCCGCCCACCUCUUGGUCGGAACUACGGUGGGCCUGGGAGGGGGCGUCGAGCCCAUUCGCACCAUAUCCCUCCGCCCCCCUUCCCGACACCCUCGAGGCGAGCAGUUCUUGCCGCAUCCUGCGCAGCCCCUGCCUGGUGUGGUGCAGAGGCGUGGGGGCGGGACGCCUCUUAGCAAUUCUGCUAGCACGGAAAGCGGUGGGAGUCCCAGUGUGGAGCUGCCAGAGGACAGAACGGGAGAGGAGAGGAGGGGAAUCCCAACG
rnacentral:lncRNA from 1 species